rnacentral:rRNA from 1 species
GACGAACGCUGGCGGCGUGCUUAACACAUGCAAGUCGAACGAUGAAGCGGUGCUUUCACCGUGGAUUAGUGGGGCACGGGUGAGUAAUACAUGAGUGUACUACCUUUGACUCUUGGGUAAGCCUGGGAAACUGUGUCUAAUAUCGGAUACGACCAAUCCCGGUGUGGGGUGUUGGUGGAAAGCGUUAGGGGGUGGUUUUAGAUGGGCUCACGGCCUAUCAGCUUGUUGGUGCGGUAAUGGCUUACCAAGGUGACGACGGGUAGCCGGCCUGAGAGGGUGACCGGCCACACUGGGACUGAGACACGGCCCAGACUCCUACGGGAGGCAGCAGUGGGGAAUAUUGCACAAUGGGCGCAAGCCUGAUGCAGCGACGCCGCGUGAGGGAUGACGGCCUUCGGGUUGUAAACCUCUGUUAGCAUCGAAGAAGCGAAAGUGACGGUAGGUGCAGAGAAAGCGCCGGCUAACUACGCG